GGGUUGUGAGGUUAAGCGACUAAGCGUACACGGUGGAUGCCCUGGCAGUCAGAGGCGAUGAAGGACGUGCUAAUCUGCGAUAAGCGUCGGUAAGGUGAUAUGAACCGUUAUAACCGGCGAUUUCCGAAUGGGGAAACCCAGUGUGUUUCGACACACUAUCAUUAACUGAAUCCAUAGGUUAAUGAGGCGAACCGGGGGAACUGAAACAUCUAAGUACCCCGAGGAAAAGAAAUCAACCGAGAUUCCCCCAGUAGCGGCGAGCGAACGGGGAGCAGCCCAGAGCCUGAAUCAGUGUGUGUGUUAGUGGAAGCGUCUGGAAAGGCGCGCGAUACAGGGUGACAGCCCCGUACACAAAAAUGCACAUAUUGUGAGCUCGAUGAGUAGGGCGGGACACGUGGUAUCCUGUCUGAAUAUGGGGGGACCAUCCUCCAAGGCUAAAUACUCCUGACUGACCGAUAGUGAACCAGUACCGUGAGGGAAAGGCGAAAAGAACCCCGGCGAGGGGAGUGAAAAAGAACCUGAAACCGUGUACGUACAAGCAGUGGGAGCCUCUUUUAUGGGGUGACUGCGUACCUUUUGUAUAAUGGGUCAGCGACUUAUAUUCUGUAGCAAGGUUAACCGAAUAGGGGAGCCGAAGGGAAACCGAGUCUUAACUGGGCGUUAAGUUGCAGGGUAUAGACCCGAAACCCGGUGAUCUAGCCAUGGGCAGGUUGAAGGUUGGGUAACACUAACUGGAGGACCGAACCGACUAAUGUUGAAAAAUUAGCGGAUGACUUGUGGCUGGGGGUGAAAGGCCAAUCAAACCGGGAGAUAGCUGGUUCUCCCCGAAAGCUAUUUAGGUAGCGCCUCGUGAAUUCAUCUCCGGGGGUAGAGCACUGUUUCGGCAAGGGGGUCAUCCCGACUUACCAACCCGAUGCAAACUGCGAAUACCGGAGAAUGUUAUCACGGGAGACACACGGCGGGUGCUAACGUCCGUCGUGAAGAGGGAAACAACCCAGACCGCCAGCUAAGGUCCCAAAGUCAUGGUUAAGUGGGAAACGAUGUGGGAAGGCCCAGACAGCCAGGAUGUUGGCUUAGAAGCAGCCAUCAUUUAAAGAAAGCGUAAUAGCUCACUGGUCGAGUCGGCCUGCGCGGAAGAUGUAACGGGGCUAAACCAUGCACCGAAGCUGCGGCAGCGACACUGUGUGUUGUUGGGUAGGGGAGCGUUCUGUAAGCCUGUGAAGGUGUGCUGUGAGGCAUGCUGGAGGUAUCAGAAGUGCGAAUGCUGACAUAAGUAACGAUAAAGCGGGUGAAAAGCCCGCUCGCCGGAAGACCAAGGGUUCCUGUCCAACGUUAAUCGGGGCAGGGUGAGUCGACCCCUAAGGCGAGGCCGAAAGGCGUAGUCGAUGGGAAACAGGUUAAUAUUCCUGUACUUGGUGUUACUGCGAAGGGGGGACGGAGAAGGCUAUGUUGGCCGGGCGACGGUUGUCCCGGUUUAAGCGUGUAGGCUGGUUUUCCAGGCAAAUCCGGAAAAUCAAGGCUGAGGCGUGAUGACGAGGCACUACGGUGCUGAAGCAACAAAUGCCCUGCUUCCAGGAAAAGCCUCUAAGCAUCAGGUAACAUCAAAUCGUACCCCAAACCGACACAGGUGGUCAGGUAGAGAAUACCAAGGCGCUUGAGAGAACUCGGGUGAAGGAACUAGGCAAAAUGGUGCCGUAACUUCGGGAGAAGGCACGCUGAUAUGUAGGUGAAGUCCCUCGCGGAUGGAGCUGAAAUCAGUCGAAGAUACCAGCUGGCUGCAACUGUUUAUUAAAAACACAGCACUGUGCAAACACGAAAGUGGACGUAUACGGUGUGACGCCUGCCCGGUGCCGGAAGGUUAAUUGAUGGGGUCAGCGCAAGCGAAGCUCUUGAUCGAAGCCCCGGUAAACGGCGGCCGUAACUAUAACGGUCCUAAGGUAGCGAAAUUCCUUGUCGGGUAAGUUCCGACCUGCACGAAUGGCGUAAUGAUGGCCAGGCUGUCUCCACCCGAGACUCAGUGAAAUUGAACUCGCUGUGAAGAUGCAGUGUACCCGCGGCAAGACGGAAAGACCCCGUGAACCUUUACUAUAGCUUGACACUGAACAUUGAGCCUUGAUGUGUAGGAUAGGUGGGAGGCUUAGAAGUGUGGACGCCAGUCUGCAUGGAGCCGACCUUGAAAUACCACCCUUUAAUGUUUGAUGUUCUAACGUGGACCCGUGAUCCGGGUUGCGGACAGUGUCUGGUGGGUAGUUUGACUGGGGCGGUCUCCUCCUAAAGAGUAACGGAGGAGCACGAAGGUUGGCUAAUCCUGGUCGGACAUCAGGAGGUUAGUGCAAUGGCAUAAGCCAGCUUGACUGCGAGCGUGACGGCGCGAGCAGGUGCGAAAGCAGGUCAUAGUGAUCCGGUGGUUCUGAAUGGAAGGGCCAUCGCUCAACGGAUAAAAGGUACUCCGGGGAUAACAGGCUGAUACCGCCCAAGAGUUCAUAUCGACGGCGGUGUUUGGCACCUCGAUGUCGGCUCAUCACAUCCUGGGGCUGAAGUAGGUCCCAAGGGUAUGGCUGUUCGCCAUUUAAAGUGGUACGCGAGCUGGGUUUAGAACGUCGUGAGACAGUUCGGUCCCUAUCUGCCGUGGGCGCUGGAGAACUGAGGGGGGCUGCUCCUAGUACGAGAGGACCGGAGUGGACGCAUCACUGGUGUUCGGGUUGUCAUGCCAAUGGCACUGCCCGGUAGCUAAAUGCGGAAGAGAUAAGUGCUGAAAGCAUCUAAGCACGAAACUUGCCCCGAGAUGAGUUCUCCCUGACCCUUUAAGGGUCCUGAAGGAACGUUGAAGACGACGACGUUGAUAGGCCGGGUGUGUAAGCGCAGCGAUGCGUUGAGCUAACCGGUACUAAUGAACCGUGAGGCUUAACCUUACAACGCCGAAGCUGUU
rnacentral:rRNA from 1 species